rnacentral:rRNA from 1 species
AGAGUUUGAUCCUGGCUCAGAAUCAACGCUGGCGGCGUGCCUAACACAUGCAAGUCGAACGAGAAAGUGGAGCAAUCCAUGAGUAAAGUGGCGCACGGGUGAGUAACACGUGACUAACCUACCCUGGAGUGGGGGAUAACUGAGGGAAACCUUAGCUAAUACCGCAUAACACCUACGGGUCAAAGGAGCAAUUCGCUUUAGGAGGGGGUCGCGGCAGAUUAGCUAGUUGGCGGGGUAAUGGCCCACCAAGGCAGUGAUCUGUAUCCGGCCUGAGAGGGCGCACGGACACACUGGAACUGAAACACGGUCCAGACUCCUACGGGAGGCAGCAGUGGGGAAUUUUGCGCAAUGGGGGAAACCCUGACGCAGCAACGCCGCGUGGAGGAUGAAGUCUCUUGGGACGUAAACUCCUUUCGAUCGGGAAGAUUAUGACGGUACCGAUAGAAGAAGCCCCGGCUAACUUCGUGCCAGCAGCCGCGGUAAUACGAGGGGGGCAAGCGUUGUUCGGAAUUAUUGGGCGUAAAGGGUGCGUAGGCGGUUUGGUAAGUCUUGUGUGAAAUCUUCGGGCUCAACUCGAAGUCUGCACGAGAAACUGCCGGGCUUGAGUGUGGGAGAGGUGAGUGGAAUUUCCGGUGUAGCGGUGAAAUGCGUAGAUAUCGGAAGGAACACCUGUGGCGAAAGCGGCUCACUGGACCACAACUGACGCUGAGGCACGAAAGCUAGGGGAGCAAACAGGAUUAGAUACCCUGGUAGUCCUAGCCCUAAACGAUGAUCGCUUGGUGUGACGGGUACCCAAUCCCGCCGUGCCGCAGCUAACGCGUUAAGCGAUCCGCCUGGGGAGUACGGUCGCA